rnacentral:lncRNA from 1 species
CAGGAUUUCAAGACUAGCCUGGGCAACAUGUCAAUAAGCAGAUAAAUGACAAAGAGCGAGUGGCAGCUGCAAUGGAAAACCCCAACUUACGGGAAAUUGUGGAACAGUGUGUCCUUGAACCUGACUGAUAGCUGUUUUAAGAGCCACUGGCCUGUAAUUGUUUGAUAUAUUUGUUUAAACUCUUUGUAUAAUGUCAGAGACUCAUGUUUAAUACAUAGGUGAUUUGUACCUCAGAGUAUUUUUUAAAGGAUUCUUUCCAAGCGAGAUUUAAUUAUAAGGUAGUACCUAAUUUGUUCAAUGUAUAACAUUCUCAGGAUUUGUAACACUUAAAUGAUCAGACAGAAUAAUAUUUUCUAGUUAUUAUGUGCAAGAUGAGUUGCUAUUUUUCUGAUGCUCAUUCUGAUACAACUAUUUUUCGUGUCAAAUAUCUACUGUGCCCAAAUGUACUCAAUUUAAAUCAUUACUCUGUAAAAUAAAUAAGCAGAUGAUUCUUA